rnacentral:rRNA from 1 species
GAUGAACGCUGGCGGCGUGCUUAACACAUGCAAGUCGAACGAAGCGCUUCGGACAGAUUCUUCGGAUGAAGUCCUUAGUGACUGAGUGGCGGACGGGUGAGUAACGCGUGGGUAACCUGCCUCAUACAGGGGGAUAACAGUUAGAAAUGGCUGCUAAUACCGCAUAAGCGCACGGUACUGCAUGGUACAGUGUGAAAAACUCCGGUGGUAUGAGAUGGACCCGCGUUGGAUUAGCUAGUUGGCAGGGUAACGGCCUACCAAGGCGACGAUCCAUAGCCGGCCUGAGAGGGUGGACGGCCACAUUGGGACUGAGACACGGCCCAGACUCCUACGGGAGGCAGCAGUGGGGAAUAUUGCACAAUGGGGGAAACCUUGAUGCAGCGACGCCGCGUGAGCGAAGAAGUAUUUCGGUAUGUAAAGCUCUAUCAGCAGGGAAGAA